rnacentral:rRNA from 1 species
CACGUAGGGUGCGAGCGUUGUCCGGAAUUAUUGGGCGUAAAGAGCUCGUAGGCGGUGUGUCGCGUCGGCCGUGAAAACCUGCAGCUUAACUGUGGGCUUGCGGUCGAUACGGGCAUCACUGGAGUUCGGCAGGGGAGACUGGAAUUCCUGGUGUAGCGGUGAAAUGCGCAGAUAUCAGGAGGAACACCGGUGGCGAAGGCGCCACUCUGGGCCGAAAGCUGACGCUGAGGAAGCGAAAGCGUGGGGGAGCGAAC